rnacentral:rRNA from 1 species
CCUACGGGGGGCAGCAGUAGGGAAUCUUCCGCAAUGGACGAAAGUCUGACGGAGCAACGCCGCGUGAGCGAAGAAGGUCUUCGGGUCGUAAAGCUCUGUUGUUAGGGAAGAACAAGUACGGGAGGAUAUGACCGUACCUUGACGGUACCUAACGAGGAAGCACCGGCUAACUACGUGCCAGCAGCCGCGGUAAUACGUAGGUUGCAAGCGUUGUACGGAAUUAUUGGGCGUAAAGCGCGCGCAGGCGGUUUUUUAAGUCUGAUGUGAAAUCUUGCGGCUUAACCGCAAGCGGUCAUUGGAAACUGCGAGACUAGAGAGUAGAAGAGGAAAGCGGAAUUCCACGUGUAGCGGUGAAAUGCGUAGAGAUGAGGAGGAACACCAGUGGCGAAGGCGGCUCUCUGGUCUGUAACUGACGCUGAGGCGCGAAAGCGUGGGGAGCAAACAGGAUUAGAUACCCUAGUAGUC